UACAGAGGGUGCAAGCGUUAAUCGGAAUUACUGGGCGUAAAGGGCGUGUAGGCGGUUUGAUAAGUUAGGUGUGAAAGUCCUGGGCUUAACCUGGGAAUUGCGCCUAAUACUGUCGAGCUAGAGUACUGUAGAGGAAGGUGGAAUUUCCGGUGUAGCGGUGAAAUGCGUAGAUAUCGGAAGGAACAUCAGUGGCGAAGGCGACCUUCUGGACAGAUACUGACGCUGAGACACGAAAGCAUGGGUAGCAAACAGG
rnacentral:rRNA from 1 species